rnacentral:rRNA from 1 species
GACAGAGGGUGCAAACGUUGUUCGGAAUUACUGGGCGUAAAGCGCGUGUAGGCGGCAGCGUGUGUCGGGCGUGAAAUCCCAUGGCUUAACUGGGAGGGGUCGCUCGAUACUGGCGAGCUCGAGGCAGGUAGGGGGAAGCGGAAUUCCUGGUGUAGCGGUGGAAUGCGCAGAUAUCAGGAGGAACACCAAUAGCGAAGGCAGCUCGCUGGGACGUUACUGACACUGAGGCGCGAAAGCGUGGGGAGCGAACAGG